UCUAUUUUUAAAGUUAACAUCGCAUUUUGCUUGUUCACCAUUUAAGAGUUUUAGUGCACAAUCAUCUGAAGCUAAUUUUUGAAGUUGAGAUCUACUGCAAAGCGUGGUUUCUUCGAUUUCUUUGCACUUUCCUGUUAUACCAUAUUUAAGGUGUUGUGAAAUGAAUAGAUUUAAAAAGCUUAGAUGUACCUUUUUAUUAUUUUUUACUGUUGGUCUAACAAUAAUGUUAUUAAAAAUUGUAUCUUCAGUUUGAGGCAAGCAAAUAACGUAGAGUAGAAUAGAAUUUUUAACAAGCAUCAUAGGUUCAGCAUAGCCUGAAGCUCAUUUUUAAAUGGAAGUGUCUCUAUUUUUGAAAGAAUAUGUGCAAUAUCGACUUUGUUGAAUAAAUUCGAAUUUACAAUUCCUUUUUUUGCAAAUUGCGCUGCCAAAACUAUUUCUCCUAAUUUAUCUUUUAAAAGGCUAAGUUUGUUAUAGACAAUUUGUUCGUAUUUCUCGGUAUCAUUCACAUAAAUUUUGUCAAUUAUUUUAUUAUAUUUAUCAAUAAGAGUAUCAGUUACUUCACUUAAAUAUUGAUUUAAGUGGUACUGCUUAUUGCUGUUGUUAGCUAUAUUGUUAUUUUGAGAAACGUUGGUUAUGUCAGGAAUGGGAUAGGCGUCUGGGAUGGUUAUUGCGUUCAAUCCUUUAAAGUUGAUUAGUAGCCUGUAUUGUUUUUCACAUGCUGCAUUUGUUUUUUUUUUGGAACAAUCCAAAGAGGUACUGCCACACGAUUUAAAAAAAAAACACAAUUCUUCGUGGUUGACUAAAGAGUGAAGCUUUAUUUAUUUCUCUUCUAUAUUUAUAAUAAUACAAUAUUUUUAAUAAUUGCUUGAUUAACAAAAGAGAAAUGAUUGCUUGAUUAACAAAACACAAAUAGUUUCUUGGUUUCCAAGAAAUGCAAAGUAUUUUACUUACUUCUUUUAUAUUUGCUAAAUUAACAAAAUUAGAAUACAAUAAUUGAUUAGUAAUAUUUUAAGUUAACAAAAUAGAAAUAAUUGCUUAAUUAACAAAAAUAGAAACAAUAUUUUGUUUUCAAACAAUUCUUGGGAUUGGAUUGGGAAUAGGUAGGCGAUAAGGUGCAAGGUGUCGUGUUAACUUCCGUAGUAACUUAAAAAAAGAGCCCACACUGCUCAGCGAUGUGACAGUAGAAUUAGAGAAACAAAAAAAUAAUGUGUGUGUGAAGGUUAGUUGAUGAACUAUUCAAUACAGAAAAAUUGAAUAUGUAGGUAGGUAGGUAGGUAGGUAAAGAGCAUGGGAAGAAAAGAAAAUUAAAAAUGUUGGAAUGAUAAUGAAAUGAAACAAAGCAGCGACCUCGCGAUUGUGAUGGAAUCUAAUUUCCUGGAUAAAAUAAAUUAAAAAAGGUUAUAAUUUUAUAAUUUGUUUUUAUUUAUUUCUCAGGUUGUAUGUUUAACUUAGAAGUGGUUUUAGACUUAAAAUUUGCGCAACAAUAUUGACUUUAUGAAGCAAUGUUAAUCUUUGUCGAUUAUUGUAUAGGUUUUAAUAUAUGAGUGGAUGUAUAAGUCAACUAAUGAAAAAAAUGGACAACAAAUGUAAAAUUAAUAAUAUUUAAGUUUGACAAAUAAUUAAUGAAAAAAAAAAUUAAAGCCAUAAACACUCUCAUAACAAUAUACAAAAUAAUAAAAUAUAUUUCAAAUAAAUCGGUUGACUACUUUCUAAGAUCGUGUGUAACAAACUUUAAAAUGGUUUCGCUUUUAUAUAAUAGUAUAGAUAUAGAUCUGUCUGUUUUAAAGAGUCAAGCAUUUUUAAAGCGAUCUGCUAUGUCUCUAUGCAGGUGAAUGAUUUGUAUAUGGGUUUUUCGUCAUCUGUUUUACUUAUCUUAGGUUUUUGUUGUUCUAACAAAAUUUAAAUCACAUAGUGUGCAUCUUUACCUUAAAUGUACACAUUUCAAGGGCUAAAGUGACAACUAUUGUCCAACGGUUAUAGUCUAUAUAAUUUAGUAGACUUUCUUCAUAUGAAAGCAUUUCAAGAUUCUAACAGUUUUCUAAAUAUGUCAUAUUUAAGAGCAAAACAAAAAAAAACAAUACUUUAGAGGGUUUUCAUUGCUUUCAUUGAGAAAUGUAUGAAAUUAUUUUGAACUUUGCUAUCUUUCAAAAAAAUUAUUCUUUUUUGUUGCCAUUUCAAAACCCAGAAAAUGAGAAAGAUUUUGUUAUCAAGAAUUUUCGUUGUUUUUUUUACGUUGAUUUUCCGACUCAAAGCAAAUUCCCUUCAACAUGUAGAUUCCUUUAAUUUACUAAGACCUUAAAAAUUGUAUUCAACAGAAAUUCAAUUUUAAAAUUAACAUAUUGCCCGCCUGCAAUACCUGCAAACAAAAAAUUUCUCAAAAAUUUAAAUGCCAUUAAACAAAAAUAAUGACAUUUUCAUUCAUCAAAAAUAAUCAUCAGUUUGGAAAUUUGGCCAUCGACAAGAGCUUGCAUUAAAAGAUCAGAUUAUUGGAAUCUGAUUAAGUUCUUGAGAAAAUAAAAAAAAAAACAAAGGUUAUAUGAGGGAUACUCUUUUGGAGAAAUACCAAAAUAUGUUUUUCUUGUAAAAAGAGGCCGAAUUAUGAAAAAAAUUAGAAAAAGUUUUAAAAAAUAUAUUGGUUCAUUUCUGAAAAAAAUAGAAUUUUCGAAUUUACACCAAAAAAUUUGUAUGGGGACAGCUGUUAUUUUUAGUAUUAAAACAUGAAAAAAAACGCCUUAUUCUAAUCGGCUUAGUUUCAAUCGGCACAGUGGUUUAUGCUUUAAGGGCCAGGACAGACCGACAGACGGAUGGAAUGGGGGACCCACUUUUUUUAGCUCUUCUAACAUCGUAAUGUCAUGUUUGAUUCGAAAUUUUGUACGAAUGUACACAUAGUUCCUAUGUGUCGCAAGUAAAAAUCACUUGUGCAUAAAAAAAAACAAGAUGGAAUUGAAGACUAGUUUCAGGAAUUUAAAGGAAACUUAAUAUAAAAUUGAAGAUCUCUUAUUCAAAGUUUCUUCUUAAAAAAAAACUGAAUCUUUGCUCUUUUUCUUGGAAACAAAUGUUAUGAAAAUAAUUUCAAUAAUUACUCAAGUUACAAAGAUUUAAAAUGUUUUUGACAACCACUUUUUGGUGAAUGUCGUUAAAUUACUAACAAAUCUUUACUUACACAACUUACUGCAUAAGCCUUAUGGCUCAUAUGACCUCCCCCCCUGAUUCGUUCAUUAGACAACAUUUGAUGAAUUUGUGCUAAGUUUUUGGAAUAGGGCUGAAUGUCAGAAUCAUAUUAUGUUCUUGGUCCAGCCCUCAGUUAAAAGUGGUACUUUUUGCAACAAAGUUUAGAAAAUAAAAUACAAAUUUUGUUUUCAUAUGCAAAAAAUAAAUAAUUCAAAAUAUAAUAGGGUCCAUAUCCCCAUAUCCAUUGACUUAAUACGAUUAGUUUUAACAUUAUAUUACAUUUCACACUACUCUGCACAUAAAUGUGCAGAGUAGAGAACACAGCACCUUGAGCAACUAAGGCUAUGUAAGGUGAUAACAACACAAGACAUUAAUACAAGACAGAAGGACAGAAGAGAAAGAACAACAGAAAGAAAGAACACAUGACAACAGCACGCAGUAGGUUUCGAGACGGUCCCCCAUCUUUCUACUAACCACGCUCACUGAUGCUUGAUUUCGGUGAUCGAUGGGAACCGAAGCUUUAUCAGUGACUAGGCCGUUGCCGAUUAGUUUUAAAUUGAAGCUAAUUCCUAUAAAAAAAAAACAACAAAUUAUCUCCCAGGGGGGGUCAUAACCCCUACGACCCCUUCUGUAUCCGCCAUUGAGUCAAUGUGGCUUAUAUAGAGAACUCUUCUUCUAAGAUUGUUAGCAGUAUUUAUGAUAGUUUGUUUUGGGUGUUUUUAGUUAAAGUUAACGAUCCUUCCUGAUGAAGUUGUUGUUUUAAACCAAUCCAUUUUUAAUUUGUCUUCUUUUCUGAUAAUAAUUGUAUGAAGAUACGCUAGUCAGUUAUUUUUCCCUUUCAACAGUGAAUUGAAGCUUUUUAUGAAAACUAUUUAGGGUGACUAAGGUAUUUUCUACGUAUUCUUCUUUCUCAAUCGGAAAAAUGUAGUUUAAAUAUUUUGUGAGAAUUUUAGGUUUAGUUUUUCCAGAGUGUUGUCAAGGAGUUCUUCAAACACCAUAUCUGCUAUAAUCGGAGAUGCAGGGUUUCUCAUCGGAAUUCUAUCCCUUUGUUGAUAUAUUUCAUUACCAUUAACUAAGUAUAGUUGUUGUCGAUUAUACAGAAAUGUACUAGCUCCAGAAAUAUAGAUUUUUUGAUUGUAGUGUGUUCUUUAAUUGUGUCCCACUUUUUAUUUAUAAGGUCAAGUGCCAUUUCAAGGGAAUGUUAGUGAAGAGGGAUACAACGUCAAAAGAUACUAAAAUUUCAUCGUUGUCAAUACUCAACCCGCUUGGCUUCUAUUUAAUUAGGAGAGAAUCCUUGACAUUAUAUUUCGAAUUCAAGGUGAUGUUAUUUAAAAUGUUUAUCAAAUAUUUCGCCAAUUUUUACCAAGGUACCUUCGUCGAUGAACAUAUUGGUCGAAGAGGAAGACCUUCCUUAUGAAUUUUUGGGAGCCCAUAAAUUCGAGGGGCAACUGAGUUGUAUGUAGUCAUUGCAUGUUUUUGGCGUUGGAAAUUAUUUCUUUUUCAGACGGAUAUUUGAAGAUUUGUUUGUUUUAUCUUGCAGUUUUUCUGUUGGAUCUCUGCUUAUUGGCCAAUAAACAUUCCUAUCUUUCAUCAAGUUCUGCAUUUCAAUUUAGUAGUUUUUUUUUUACUUCGCUAAAGUAACGUUACCUUUGUCCGCUGAAACAAUUGUCAAUUCUUUGUUUUUGCGAAGAAAUUGUUUUGUUUUCUCGAGAAUAUACUUGAUAUAUUUGUCGAAUUCUGUGUGGGAUUUCUAUCUGAUGUAAUUGCUAAGUAUGUCUUCGAAUUUGCCACGGAUUUUUCCCCUUUUGUCUGUAUUUUUGAGUGUUUGAAUGCAGUCUUCACCGUCUGCGAUGCUUUUGAAGAGUGUAUUAGCUGUAAAGCGAAUAGUACUUGUCUUGUUCACAAACCAUUUCUUUUUUGGCUUCAAACCGUGUUUCUCUUUGAUUCUCUCUUUAAGUGAUGUCAGUUGCUGCUUUUUUUUUUGCUUUAACUUUUCGUAGCUCUUGUUGUAUUUAAUUUGUUCAUGAAUAAAUAAGACUUAAAUAAAGUAACUCAUGAGAAAAAUGUUGCUUGAUGUUGUUUUAAUUCUGCAGCAUUUUUGCAGCAAACUAAAACAAUGUAGAAAACUCAAAACAAAGAGAAACUCCAAUUUUAUAUAAAAAAAAUGUUACUCAUAUGAAACAAGAGCGCUCAAGCCAGCAUGACGGCAAAUUCAUAAUAAAUAAAGAAAUAGCAAAAUGUGGUAAUGUCUACCAAAAUAUUCAAAAUUGUAAAUUUGAGUUUAGAUAUAAUUAUUGUAAAACACAAAAAUAUAACAACACAUGUUUAAUAGAUCUGCUACACAAUGAACGAGCUUUGUGCAAUUAAACAAAAGGACUUGUAUCUAGAGGUAUUAAGAGAUCAAUUCUUUUGACUGGAAACCAUCAGGUAGAGAACCUUACCAUCACGGGUACAUUUUAGGUACUUUUUUUAGCUAUGGAUUAUUCAAAUAAUAUACUUGACUAGCACCAAACUGGUUAAUCAACAUUAAUAUGCGACCACCCAGUUUUGGAACGACUCAACAGCAGAACAGCAACGGCAGAGUAUGCCGGCAAAUCAGGAUUUUCAACGUCCUCCACCUAUUCAUCAGCCGCCAAGAAAUAUGAUGCCAACCGACCAAAAAACGAAUCGGAAUCGGCGGCAUUUGGAAAUCAUUGGUAAGCCUUCUUAAUAUGGAAAACCUCAUUAUUUUCGUAUAUAAUAUUUAAGAAUUUCCAGAUAUGUUGAAAAAUAGAAACUGAAUUCCAUAAAUGCAUAAUGCCUAUCGAAUUACCAAAGCAAAAUGCAUUCUGAACACAGCUAUCUGGAAUCACAUAGAAGAACUUCACAGAAAUGAGAACCCGCAACCUUCAACUACCGAAAAUUUCCAAAAAUAAUACAAUCGGAAAUUGUGCAUUUAUGACAUGGUCCGAUUGGUAUUUUGGAAUUUGCCUCGCAAAAGAAUGUCACAAACGACUUGCAACAAUUUUUUAAUCAACGGAUCGAAUUACCAGAGUUUUUUGAUUAUAAACCAAUCAACUAAAAUUUAAUUGUGCGUCCAUUGACCAGAAGGCUUAUGAUGGCAGGACUACUUCAAACAACAAAUCAAAACGGUAUUGCAACAACUCCUGAAAUGAAGAUGAUUAUAGUCGACGACAAGCUUAAAUGUCAUCCGUUAAUAAUUUUUAAAUACAUUUGUAAUAUUUUUCAAAAUUCUAUGUAUAUAAUUUAAUUUUGUUCUAAAUUCAACGUUAAUAAUGUAUAUUCACUUA